UGCAAGUCGAACGAGAAAGUUCCUUCGGGAGCGAGUAAAGUGGCGGACGGGUGAGUAACGCGUAGGAAUCUACCUUUCAGUGGGGGAUAGCUCGGGGAAACUCGAAUUAAUACCGCAUACACCCUUCGGGGGAAAGGGGGCCUCUCCUUGGAAGCUCUCGCUGUUAGAUGAGCCUGCGUGAGAUUAGCUUGUUGGUAAGGUGAUGGCUUACCAAGGCUACGAUCUCUAGCUGGUCUGAGAGGACGAUCAGCCACACUGGGACUGAGACACGGCCCAGACUCCUACGGGAGGCAGCAGUAGGGAAUAUUGGACAAUGGGGGCAACCCUGAUCCAGGCAUGCCGCGUGUGUGAAGAAGGCCUUAGGGUUGUAAAGCACUUUAAGUGAGGAAGAAAAGAUUUAAAUUAAUACUUUAAGUCCCUGACAUUACUCACAGAAUAAGGACCGGCUAACUCCGUGCCAGCAGCCGCGGUAAUACGGAGGGUCCAAGCGUUAAUCGGAAUUACUGGGCGUAAAGCGCGCGUAGAUGGUUUAUUCAGUUGGGUGUGAAAUCCCUGGACUCAACCUAGGAACUGCAUUCAAAACUUAUAAACUAGAGUACGAAAGAGGAGAGUAGAAUUCAUGGUGUAGCGGUGAAAUGCGUAGAGAUCAUGAGGAAUACCAGAGGCGAAGGCGACUCUCUGGUCCGAGACUGACAUUGAGGUGCGAAAGCGUGGGUAGCAAACAGGAUUAGAUACCCUGGUAGUCCACGCCGUAAACGAUGAGAACUAGCCGUUGGAUCUUUAGAUUCAGUGGCGCGGCUAACGCAUUAAGUUCUCCGCCUGGGGAGUACGGCCGCAAGGCUAAAACUCAAAUGAAUUGACGGGGGCCCGCACAAGCGGUGGAGCAUGUGGUUUAAUUCGAUGCAACGCGAAGAACC
rnacentral:rRNA from 1 species